rnacentral:lncRNA from 1 species
ACUGACUCUUUUCGGACUCAGCCCACCUGCACGCAGGUGAUUAAAAGCUUUAUUGCUCACACAAAGCCUGUUUGGUGGUCUCUUCACACGGACGCGCAUAAAAUUUGGUGCCGUGACUCGGAUCGGGGGACCUCCCUUGGGAGAUCAAUCCCCUGUCCUCCUGCUCUUUGCUCCGUGAGAAAGAUCCACCUACGACCUCAGGUCCUCGGACCGAUCAGCUCAAGAAACAUCUCACCAAUUUCAAAUCCGGUAAGUGGCCUCUUUUUACUCUCUUCUCCAACCUCCCUCACUAUCCCUCAACCUCUUUCUCCUUUCAGUCUUGGUGCCACACUUCAGUCUCUCCCUUCUCUUAAUUUCAAUUCCUUUCAUUUUCUGGUAGAGACAAAAGGGACAUGUUUUAUCCAUGAACCCAAAACUCCGGCACCGGUCACGGACUGGGAAGGCAGCCUUCCCUUGGUGUUUAAUCAUUGCAGGGACGCCUCUCUGAUUAUACACUCACGUUUCAAGGGUGUCAGACCAUGCAGGGAUGCCUGCCUUGGUCCUUCACCCUUAGCGGCAAGUCCCGCUUUCCUGGGACAGGGGCAAGUACCCCUCAACCCCUUCUCCUUCACCCUUAGUGGCAAGUCCCGCUUUCCUAGGGGGCAAGAACCCCCCAAUCGCUUAUUUCCGCACCCCAACCUCUUAUCUCUGUGCCACAAUCCCUUAUUUCCAUGUCCCAACCCUUUCUCUGCUUUUCUGGAGGGGAAGAAACCCCCACCCCUUCUCCGUGUCUCUACUCUUUUCUCUGGGCUUGCCUCCUUCACUAUGGGCAGGCUUCCACCUUCCAUUCCUCUUUCUUCUCCCUUAGCCUGUAUUCUUAAGAACUUAAAACCUCUUCAAUUCUCACCUGACCUAAAAUCUAAGCAUCUUAUUUUCUUCUGCAAUGCCACUUGACCCCAAUACAAACUCAACAGUAGUUCCAAAUAGCCAGAAAACGGCACUUUCAAUUUUUCCAUCCUACAAGAUCUAAAUAAUUCUUGUCGUAAAAUGGGCAAAUGGUCUGAGGUGCCUGACGUCCAGGCAUUCUUUUACACAUCAGUCCCUUCCUAGUCUCUGUGCCCAGUGCAACUCGUCCCAAAUCUUCCUUCUUUCCCUCCCGCCUGUCCCUUCAGUACCAACCCCAAGUGUCAUUGAGUCUUUCUAAUCUUCCUUUUCUACAGACCCAUCUGACCUCUCCCCUCCUCAACAGGCCGAGCUAGGUCCCAAUUCUUCCUCAGCCUCCGCUCCUCCACCCUAUAAUCUUUUAAUCGCCUCCCCUCCUCACACCUGCUCCGGCUUACAGUUUCGUUCCGUGACUAGGCCUCCCCCUCCUGACCAGCAAUUUACUCUUAAAAAGGUGGCUGGAGCUAAAGGCAUAGUCAAGGUUAAUGCUCCUUUUUCUUUAUCCCAAAUCAGAUGGCGUUUAGGGUCUUUUUCAUCAAAUAUAAAAAUCCAGCCCAGUUCAUGACUUGUUUGGCAGCAACCCUGAGACACUUUACAGCCCUAGACCCUAAAAGGUCAAAAGGCCGUCUUAUUCUCAAUAUACAUUUUAUUACCCAAUCUGCUCCCGACAUUAAAUAAAACUCCAAAAACUGAAAUCUGGCCCUCAAACCCCACAACAGGACUUAAUUAACCUCACCUUCAAGGUGUGCAAUAACAGAAAAAAGUUGCAAUUCCUUGCCUCCACUGUGAGACAAACCCCAGCUACAUCUCCAGCACACAAGACUUCCAAAUGCCUGAACCGCAGCAGCCAAGUGUUCCUCCAGAACCUCCUCCCCCAGGAACUUGCUACACAUGCCGGAAAUCUGGCCACUGGGCCAAGGAAUGCCCGCAGCCCGGGAUUCCUCCUAAGCCGCGUCCCAUCUGUGUGGGACCCCACUGAAAAUCGGACUAUUCAACUCACCUGGCAGCCACUCCCAGAGCUGCUGGAACUCUGGCCCAAGGCUCUCUGACUGACUCCUUCUUGGCUUACCGGCUGAAGACUGACACUGCCCGAUCACCUCGGAAGCGCCCUAGACCAUCAUGGACGGCAAGCUUUGGGUAACUCUCACAGUGGAAGCUUGAAGGGGAAAAAGAAUCCUGUGUACUGCUCUAGCUGUGACCAAGCCAAUUAUGCUAACAUCAGCAUCCAACGAUCACAGCAGGAAACAUACUGUCUUCUUUACAUGCAUGGGCUGACUGAAUUCUUACAAAAUCUCCAUGAGAAAGAGAAAAUUAGGGCACAAACACACAUAGAAGAAAGACCAUGUGAAGACAGGAAGAUGGCCACCUACAGCCAGGAAAAGAGGCUUCAGAAAAUGUCAACUCUGCUGGCAUCUUGAUCUCAGACUUAUAACCUCCGUGAGAAAAUAAAUUUAUGUUGUUUAAGCCACCCAGUCUAUGGUACUUUGUUACGGCAGCAUUGGCAAACUAAUUCACUGGUGAUUUUAACAAAAGGAACGUCGGUAAAGUGAUGGAAGCAGAAAACAGAUUUGAGUGAGAAGAAGAACUGAUAGGAAUCAGAAAAUAAGGAAAGCAAGUACCUAGAUCUUUCUAGUCAUAUUUAUCCUAUGAAUAACCCAAAUAAUAGUCUAUUUCUUGGUUUUAACUUUAAGAAGCUUAUAUGUAGCAUUGAAUUAUCUCUUACACAUUCAAAAACCCGAUCUAAAAUUUGAAAACUAAAUAUGCUAUGUACAGAUUCCUAUGAAAGAUAAAAAGUAUUUAAUUUUGAUUUUGGAAAAUAUUUUAUAUGCAUGGAUAUUUGAAUGUGUGCAUCUUUACUAGCAAAUAUUUAAUAUUUCCUUAAGAUACUCUAAUUUGAGAUAAGUGACAUUCAGAUUGGGGCUAGGAUGAAGUUCUUUUCAUUUCCUACAAGGAAUAUUAUAGUAGAUUAUAACUAAAUUUAGACAUUAUAUUUUCUAAAUCAAACGUAGGCAUACGUUUUUUAUCACCUUGCCUGAUAACAGGACAUACAGUGGAAAUUAGAAUGAUUCCCAAACAUCUGUGCCAUGUGGUUACUGCUGUUACUUAGGGAGUUAUGAAGAUCUAUGAAUAGGAGAAGGCAAGAAGGAAGUAAAACAUCUUAUCCAAUGUAAGGGCUAUUAUAAUCAAGGGAUAAUUCUUUUAUAAAUAGAAUAUGACACUAUCACACAAAGUCAAGACCAAGAUGUCAGACAAAUGUAAGGACACAGGCAAGUUCAGCCCACACCAGGGAAGCAACAGGAAUGAUAUGUGUACUAGGCUUAUGCAUAUGACUUCCCAGCCAACCAGAAGGGGAUUCAGUAAGCUGACAGCCAAUUGUAUAGUUUAAGUUAAAAUUUCUGUUUCAAGCCUUGUAGAAAUGAAUGUGGUUUGAAUCACACAAACAUUUUUUAAGACUUGGGACACGCAUCUCAAGAUCUGGCAUAUGUGCAAGUAGUCCAUGUGUUUCAAUUCCAGAGAAGAUAGCUAGUCCCUUCCUGGGCUUUAGCCAGUUUCCUGGAAGCGUGAAAGAGCUGGUUGAUGGUGAGGGCCACAAGACUAACACAGCUUCCUAAAGGUCUCAGCAGUGACAGGAGAGGGCUGGGAUGUUGAGACUAGGUAAGCAAAGAGUAAUGUGUGAGUCCAAAGUUAGCAUUCCCCAGAAGCCAACUCCCAUACACUUCAUAAAUGCAGGAGAAUGACAGAAGAAUUUGGAAGAAUCAUAAUUAGGAGUCUAAAUUCCCUGUAAAUUUAAAACUUAUCCUCAAAAUUUUAUGGCAAAUAGGAAAAUGGAAGAGUAAUUGUAAAAGGUAAUUAAUUGGAGUACAUAUUUCUUCUAGAGCUAUGACUUACUGUUAGCAAGACUUUCAUGUCAGUUUCAUAAAAGUGAUCAUGACAGGUGGCUAGCUCCAUCAGUGAGUUCAUAAAGAUUUAACCAAGUUUUAAACAAAAAUAGAGUAAACCAAUUUAUUUUAAGAAGUGAUUUUAUUUCUGGCCAGGUGUGGUGGCUCACGCCUGUAAUCCCAGCCCUCUGGGAGACUGAGGCAGGUGGAUCACCUGAGGUCAGGAGUUUGAGACCAGCCUGGCCAACAUGGUGAAACACUGUCUCUACUAAAAACACAAAAAUUAGCAGGGUGUGGUGGCUGGUACCUGUAAUCCUAGCUACUUGGGAGGCUGAGGCAAGAGAAUCACUUGAACCUGGGGGGCAGAGGUUGCAGUGAGCCAAGAUCAUGCCAGUUCACUCCAGCCUGGGCAACAGAGCAAGACUCCAUCAAAAAAAAAAAAAAAGAAAAGAAAAGAAAAGAAAGAAAGAAAGAAAAAAGAGUGAUUUUAUUUCUAGUAGGCUAUUUCUAAUAGGCUAGUAUUUUGUAAGCUUUAAGCAGACACCAGCUCAAUAUAAUAUUGAAAAAAAAAAACCCCACAUAUAACCUUGGUCCUUUCAGUAAGCUGAGCACCCAAAAUGGCAUCUUAUAGUUUCUCAUAAAUUGCAGUUCAACAAUGUUGAAUAUGAUAAAGUGGUUAUCAAAAGUUAGAGCCAUUUUUUAAAAAGUUCCCAGAUACCUGGGUAGCUAAGGUUAUUUAAUAAAUUGUUAUGAUGUAAUGCUACUAAAUCUCCUAAGAUUAAAUUUAAGGUUUUUUUAAUGAGUGCUCAGGUUUAAAAUAACUUUGUAUUUUUCUCUGAUGUUAAAUUUUUGAUUUGUGCCUUUAGAAUCUGUAACUGUCACUCCUUUUCAUAUGAUAAAAUUAUUUGAUAGAACAAGAAAAUAAAUCCCAAAAUUAUAAAAUCAGCACCACUAUUUCUUUGAAAUUUUAGCUGCUAAAGGAUUCAUGUCAUUCUCAAACACAAUGAUAAAGAAAUCAGCAAUUUUCAAAAAUCAUGUGACUUAAAUCCUUUUUGUUACACUCAUUUCUCUCAUUUAAGUUUCUGAGAGAACUAUUGAUUUGUUCUUUUUCUCUGAAAAGAUUAAACACCUGGAUUUUAUCAUGUACUCACAUUUGAAAUUCAAAUCAUUUGUAUAUAAUGCAUUAAAUUAUUUGAAAAGUCAAAUAUCACAGAUUAGUGUGAGAUGAUAGCAUACUCUGUAUGCUAUGAUAUAAAGUGGUUCAGAAGCAUGUAAUAAGUUCCUGAAAUGUCUGUUCCCACUGUAUGUAAAAUGGCUCACUUUUCAGCAAGAUCGGUGAUUCCUUAUAUAAAUCUGUUAGCAGCUUUUUGAUUAUAAGAGGAUGGACAGUUCUUUCUCAUGAGUUAGUUUGCAAAUAUUAGUUUUCCUUUUAAAAAGUCCGAACAGAGAACCAAUAAGCUUCUUUAACUUUUACAACUGCCUAAUACAAUUUAAAUUACAUUUAUUAACUUAGUUCUGCAGGUUUGGAAAGUAUUUGCACUUGGCAUAUCCUAUCACUCCAUCUCCUGUCAGCUAAUGUCCUCAGUAGUCUAUUUCCAGUUACAUGUGUGGAGAUACAAGAUUGGUGCAAUAUAUUUUUACCCUUUUUAAUUCUUGUAGUUGCAUGCUGAAAUUAUUUAAUGUGGGAUUAGUUGAAUGGUGUCUGUCAUAGAAAGGGAUUGUUGUAGAAAAUUUGUUGUCUUUUACCACCUUUAGUUCACUGCUUUUUAAUGGCAUAUAACACUCAAAUUUUCCUUAGAAAGGAGUAAUAAAUAAUUUCUGUCAGUCAAAAUAAUUUAAACUGCUGAGAGGAGUAGAAGGUAACAAGAUUUUGGCAAAGCAUAAAAACCAUGAAGAAUCAAGCGAAAAGAAGAAAUUCCCAAGAUAUGUAGUUUAAAAUGUCUAUAAAGAGAUAGGUAAGUGAGGAAAUGGUACUACUGCUUAUUGUGGAUUUGGAAAUUAUUUUAAAGACAACAUAAUUUUCAUGCAUUCAAAGAUAGUAUUUUGAUUGCAUUACAUAGCUCAGUUCAUGGGGAAAAUCUCGUACCUGUAAUGUUUUCAAGGUAAUUCGAAAAAUUGUUAAGUAUAUGUGAGAAAUUUGUGUGCUCAAAUAACAAAGGCAUAUUUUUAUUUUUAUGUCAACUUAAUAUCAAACUAGGAGUAAAUAUAUUUAGCAAUACAUAUGCUUGACAAAAGAUUUUUAACUAAGAUGUUUAUUUUCUCAAUAUUAAGUGUAAAAGAAGGGAUAAACUAGAUUCCUGUUUUUCAAUCUCUGUGAUUGUCUUUUAACUCUACAGAUGUAUUUGGAGCAUCAGAAAAGUUCACAACAUUACAUUAGAAUGAGUCAUACUCUCUGUUCUCAAAGAGUUCACCAUCUAAUGGAAAGACAGUUACCAAACAAUAAAAUAGCUAACAAUAAGGGAAGCAGAGCAGCAAAGUUUUAUGUCUAUGUAGGGCUGUCAGAGAAGGAUUCACAAAAAAAUAGUUACGCUACUUCUUGUGAGAAAAGAAGACUUACAUUAUCAAGGUAUUGAGGUAUAGCUCGGAGUAUGUGUUCCUGCAAAGGGAACAAACUGUAAAAUGAAUUAAGUAUAAGAGAAUGAAGCAUUCACAUGUUGUUUCAAUGUUUUCUGUUUAGAAUAACCCAAUUUACCAUGGUUUUUUAUCUCUUGUUUUCAUCUAGUCCAACUUAGUUGCUUUAUUACUCCAAUAAAUUAACACUGGAUUAUUAUAGGACAAUAAAUGAAUUAAUGGCAGUCAGAUUGGUUUGAAGAGACUGAGGACAGUGAGGAAUCCUAAAGACCAGAAAUAAUAAAAUUUCAAUGUGAUGAGAGGCUUAUAAUUAAGAAUCUGUAUGUGUCUUCAAAAAUAAUUAGGUCUCAAAUUGUGGCAUCUAAAAAGUUACCUUGCAAACACUACUUCAACAUUGUGAUCUCGCUAUUAUUAUAUCUUAGAAUUUGAUUUUGUGAAACACUACUUCAACAUUGUGGUCUUGCUCUUAUUAUAUCUUAGAAUUUGAUUUCGUGUCUAUGUGCUGAAACCACUUCAUGGUACUAAGUUAGGUAUGUGCUAAUAGUUCUUGAGAUCAUGAGGAUACUAUUUCUCAGCAGAUAAUGCACUGAAGUGUUCAUUUUCAAAAUAAAUAUACUUAAGGUGCAAUAGUGCACAUUAUGAGUUUCAGAUUGUUAUAUUACCAUUAAAAUAAAUUCUAAGAAUAUACCUGCUUGGAAAAUUCUAAUUAGUGUGAUUACUAUGGAACUGGAAAUAAUUAUUUUAAAACUCGUAAGAGCGUAUUUUGAAAAAUAAUCAGCAGUAGAAUAAGAAACUGCCAGAUGAGUCACUAGUCUAAAAAGGUAAAAUAUUUUUCCUUUGAAUUCUGCUAAAUAUAUUACUUCUCAGAUUCAAGGAUAGUGCAUUGAAAAUUACUUUGUAGAAUUUUUCUACGAAAAAUAUGAUAUGGGAAAGUCCUGUUCAGCAGGAGAAAAAAACAAGAAAAAGAAAUUAGGAAAUACGGACACAUGAACCAAAGGAAUUGAUUUGAAAUUUACUUAUAAUUCACAUUAGCCCUAAGCUUCAGUCUGGGAGUUAUGACUAAUAAUAAAAAAUAAAGAAAUAAUUAUUUUGUGAUCCAUUAUUUUAAAACCAGUAAAUACUAACAAAUUAUUUAUAUACUUGCAUAUAUUAGUCAACUGUUCUCACAAUAAUAUGCAUAUCAAACAACUCUAAAACUCAGUAGUGUCCAAUAGGAAGCAAUUACUUAUUAUUCAUCUGACUCAAGAUCUGCUGAGGCUCAGCUGACUUCAGAUAAGCUCAAGAAGGCUCGUAUUUAAACUGUGGAAUAUGUUUGGUUUGCUCCAUGGGCCUCUCAUUCGUCUGAGAUCCAUAGGCUACCCAGAAUAUGUUCUUUUCUUGGCAGUGACAUUAAUAGAAGAGAGAAAACCAAGCCAUAUGACUAACUACUCUUCAACACUCUGCUUGUUUCAGACCCACUAACAGCCCAUGGGCCAAAACAAGUCUUGUGGCCACACUCUGCAAUAAUUGAAUGGAAAAGGGUAUUCUGUUCACCAUGAAGCUAUCGCAAGGGUGGGGAUGCAAAAUCUGGCUACUAAGAAAUAACAAAUGAAGACUGAUAAGUAAAUCUGCCACAACUUUAAUAUUUGUUUAUAAAAAGAAAAGUUUGCAUGUAUUUUUCUGAAAAUUUGGAUUUUAAAAAGUGUUUCUAAGAAUUAAUACAUGUGGAUAGUAGUAAGUACCCAAAACUAAGAACAGAAAUGCUUAGAGAUAAAUAAAUGCUUACAUAUGCAUGCAUACAUGUAUACAGGCCAGUCAGAAGGAAGAAGAGAAAAAAUAAGCAAACUCAUUGAGGAAGUACAGGAAAGAAAGCACAGAGGAGAAAUUGGGAAAACCUGUGCUGAGAGAUGUCUCUGGUCCUGCCAGUUUCCAGGUACAGCUCCAUUAUCCAUGCACCAUUACUGGUUUUGAUAUACAAGUCCUGCAAUUUUAACACCUACGAAAGAAACUUACAUUUUUAUCUUCAUGCAUACAAUACACAAUGUGCAUAAGUGAAGCAUUUUAUCUCAAAUGUAAAUGUAUACAGAAUGCUGUGUUCCUCAGAUCUAUCCUUAUGUUUCAGUGUUAUCUAUUAAGAGGAAAAAAGAAACAAGAGUUAAAAUUGAAAUAACUUAAAUCUUUCAACUUCCCUCUGACUUUAAGGAGAAAAGAAUUUCUUCAUUGCCAUUUCUAUUCCCACCUUCCAAUUAUUCAAACCAAGUUGCAUUCAGAGAAUAGCACUGAUUGCUGUUUAGCAUUCUAUUUAGUAAUGGGUAUGUUAUUCUCUGGAUUAUCUGUUUGCUAUUAUCUAGUUCUAGAUAUAGAGAAGGAAAUAGAGCAAAAAUCUGGACCCUUUGUAUCACAGAUCUAUGAGUUUGAAAAGAGACUCUGGAUUGUCCAGUUCACAAUGGAUCCGGCAAGCCUGCGCAGACUGAUAGUGGAUGAGUUUAACAUUGUUUUCUUUUGUGCCACAAGACACACUACACACUGGUGGUUAAGAACACACACUUUGAAGCCUCACUAGGUUCAAAUUGCAGUGUCUUGCUUACUGGCCUUAGCAAGAAAUUUUGCAAAAGGGGAUGACUUCUAAAACAGGGUAUAUUCCGCCUAUCCUUUAAAUGAUUAUGUCUGUAAAAUACUUAGAACACUUUUCUAUUAUUUCUAUAAUUUUGGAAAACAUUCUUUCAGAGUCUCCAGAACAUCACACUUUAAUCCCCUCCAUCCCACAGAUUGUGAGUUCUUUGGGUAAUGAUUCCUUUCCCUCCCUCCCUGUGGUCACAGGGAAAGAGUUGGUUGAACUAUGAUCUUAGGGAGGAAUAAGGAGAAGCUAGGAGGAGAUACUAAAGUUGUUGCAAUUUUAAAGUAACUUAAGUAUCAGUGAAUGUCUUUAUCUCCAAGUCAGUAUUGCCCUGAAAAGUCACACUCGCAACAUGGAAGAUGACACUGGGCAACUUGUCUCUUGAGAUUCCAUGGCAGUUUCUAAGUAUUCCUUGCUGUUACUGUAGGACUUUAAGGGCACAGUCACACAGGGAAUGUGUUCUGGAUAGUUUUAUCAACUUUAGAACUGAUGAAGAGUUAAUUUGAGGGUGAAUCCUGAUUGACUUAACCACUCAUUGUUUUGCAUAAAUACUAUCACUUGUGAGGUAGACUGAAACACUUGACAUAUUUAAUGCAAACAAAUUCUGAAACUGAUUGUUCUUUGUUUUUCUAUGUUCCUUAAGCAAACCAGCCUAGUGACUCUAUUUCAACAGUUGCUACUUCUUUUGAAAAAGUAUCUACUUUCCAAUUAUCCGCUAAUAUGUAACUAUCUUUCAGAGAUAGUGACCAUGUGACAUUUCAAAUCACAAUGCCUAAUGCAGAUAAUUCCAGUAACUUUCAAAGUUUUUUUCUAUGGAUAAAAAUAAAAGAAUAAGAAUAGAAAAAAUAUAUACACAUACAUGUAUACCUCGUCUUGCUAACUAGUUUAUUUAGUUGAUGAGAGACAUAGUAUCAGAUGAUAUUAUUACCUAUAAUUUAAUGAAGAAGUAGUUUCAUUUUAUGCUAUAACUUCCUUCAGAUAGGAGAUUAUUACAAUGCUGUUUUCUGAAGAAAAGGAAAUUUUUCAACAUAGAAAGCCUGGACCAAAGUAUUACAAUGUACCAUGCCACUCCUGUAUAAUGAUCCAUUGACUAUCAUCCGUUCUGUCACAUGGAACUAUAAAGACUUUACAGUUCUAUAGGCAAGAGCAUAAAUCUCACCUUUCUUAAAUGUCCUUGUCUAGAAUUAGACUUUUUCUAAAAUACCUAGCUUUUAUCCUACAGUAUUUGCUUCAUAUUUACCAAAGAAGAAAUAUGAAAACUAAAAGCAAAAAGCAAAACACUCAAAGAGAAAAAUGAAUUUUAAAAUAUAUUCACUGAGUACAUGUAGAAUAUUGAUAAUAUCUUCAUUUCACAGCACAAAUGAACAAGUGUUGUCUUUAAAUGAAUGGCAUUGGUCCAAAAAUCUGAAUAUCUAUUGUCUUUUCUAAUCUUUGCAAAAAUCCAAACAAAACACAUUUAUCACUGACUCUGUAAUAGCAGUUUAAAGAUGAAAAUAAGCAUAUGAAUGAUACACAGAAGUUCAGAUGAGACUUAUUGUAGUAGCAUUUCCUAUAAAUCAGGGAUUAUGCACUGUUUUUACUUUAUCCUCAGAAUAAUUACAGUUGCUCAAGUACUAUUAAAGAUAUACAAUGGGAUUUCAGAAACCACAAAGAACACAAGUGCAGAUUAUUUUUAAAGACAAAGUUAAUUUAUCUAUUGUUUUUAAGGAUAGAACAUUACAGUACACAUUAGAAAACACCUUCCCAAAUUGUCUUGCCAAAUAUAUGAGAAAAACUUUUGCAAUAGUUCAAUAUUUUAUCUCAAUGUGAUAUUGCCCUGUUCUCAAUGAUGGCUUCAGAAAAUAAAAAAUACCAGCUGGUAAGUAUUUAUGUCCUUUGUACAGCCUCUCUUGGUUAUCUCACUCCUAUUUAUUCAAUAAUAAAAUCGAAGUUAAAUGGACAAGAUUCGUAUUCCCACUUUUCUAUUCCUAUAGCAACUCUAUGAGAGACACUUAGGAAAAUUUGCUUUCAACAAAGCUCUGUGUGUGUGUGUGUGUGUGUGUGUGUGUGUGUGUGUGUGUGAGAGAGAGAGAGAGAGAGAGAGACAGAGACAGAGAAUGAGAGAGAGAAGGCCAAGAGACAGGAGAGACAGAGAUAAAGACAAGAAAAUAGCUUGUAAGCAACUCAAAUGUAGUAAGGGUGACAGCAUUUCCAUUCUGUUCAUAUACUCUGUGGGAGUUUUAGUCAUCAUUGAAUUAGCAGCAACUGUGACCUCAGAAUACCAUGAAAUACCCUCAUAACCUAAUGGAAAUAUUAGGGUAUAGAUAUGGGAAGGAGAGUAUUUCUCCUUUUUGUACAGCAGGUAUCUACUUUUAUUGCAUCCUUUUUACUUGACAUCAUUUUAAUCAGAAUGAGAAGAGAGGAAACAAAAUGGAAAUUGUUGAUUUCUCACCUUGAUUGAAAUUCUGAAAUACUUGGAAAGUAAGAAAUAAUAACACUAGUAAAAUAUUAUAAAAUGAUUUAGGAAUACCCAUGUAUAGUGUCUGAUGAUUACUGAUUAACCAAUUUGUGUGACAACUAAAAAAUAUAUACACAGUGGCCUUCAAACAGAAUACACUUUUAUCUAGCAUUAUUGAGAAAAGGUUGUUGUAGCUAAUGAAAAUUUGUAGUUAAGUUUCUCUCUAUAUUCUGCACAGACGAAUAAUUUUAUGUAAUUUACAAAAAUUAAAGUAGUCUUAGUAUUUAUGAGACACAAGUUAUUCAUUGAUUUUGGUGUUUUAAAAUUUAUUUAACUUUCUUUCAAUACUUCGAUGAAAUCAUUACAUACAUCAGAGGUCCUAAUAGAGUUGUCAAAAUUAAUAACCUUUCAACUGAUGGAAAGCCAGUUACUAAAUUGUGCUGUAAAUGAGUUCUAGUUCUAGCGGAUCUCAGAGAUGAGUAAGUGUUUUCUAUUACUUUUUUUAUUACAGUGAAGAAAGAACAACCUGAUAGUACCAUAAUGUUAAAAAUUUACAGAUCUUGAAUCACACACAAAUAAAGUAAAUAAGAACUUGUGUACACCUAUAGUGUUCUGUGUUUUCCAUGAAUGUCAUGAAAAUAUAUAUUUUAGUCAAUAUAAUGUACAUUAAUGUGUGUGCAUAGAAAACUAUACAUGUGUACACAUAUAUGUAUGUGUAUAUAUGUGUAUUUACAUGUGUAUAUAUGUCUACAUAAAGCUAUAGUUAUAGAUGAAACUAUGAUAUAUUAGCUUUCUAUUGUUCCAUAAUAAAUACAGCUUAAAACAACAUAUAUUGUUUAUCUUGCAGUUUUGUGGGUCAGGCAUCUAGGCAUGGCUUAACAGGGUCCUCUGUCAACCUGCAAUUAGGGUGGCAGCCUGGGCAGAUUCUCAUCUAUAGAUUCAACUAGGAAAAAGUCCAGUGUUCAGCUCACUCAGGUUGUUGGCAAGUGGCUGUAGACUGAGGGCUCCAAGUUCUUACUGGAUGUCUGCUGGAAAUGACCCUCAGUUCCUUUCCAUGUGGACUUCCCCAAUAUAGCCUCUUAUUUAUCAUGCCAGUAAGGAGAGUCUCCAGAGCAAGUCAGCUAGCAAAUGGGAGUUUUACAGAACAAAACAAAAUCCCAAGAGCAAUAUUCCAUCAAUUUUAUAUAUUGCGUGGGUUAAAAGGAAGUCUCAGGUUUCAGGCCCUGCUGUAUUAGUCAGAGUUCUCUAGAUAUACACACACACACACACAGUGGAAUCUAUUAAGUAUUAACUCACACGAUCACAAGAUUCCACAAUAGGCUCUCUGCAAGCUGAGAAGCAAGGAGAGCCAGUCCGAGUCCCAAAACUAAAGAACUUUGAGUCCAAUGUUCAAGGGCAGGAAGCAUCCAUCAUGGGAGAAAGAUGUAAGCUGGGAGACUAGGCCAGUCUAGUCUUUUCACAUUUUUCUGCCUACUUUAUAUUCUAGCCAAGCUGGCAGCUAAUUAGAUGGUGCCCACAUUAAGGGUGGGUCUGCCUUUCCCAGCCCAGUUACUCAAAUGUUAAUCUCCUUUGGCAACACCCUCACAGACACACCCAGGAUCAAUACUUUGCAUCCUUCAAUCCAGUCAAGUUCACACUCAAUAUUAACCGUCAUACCUGCCCACACUCAAGAAGAGGGGAUCACAGAAAGCCAUGAACACCACCAGGCAAAGAUCAUGGAAAUCUACCCUCAAGUCUGUCCGUAAGUACCAAUUUUGGCUCAGUAAACAUAGUCGCUGAUAACAUGGUGGCUCAAUUUUAUAUGUAAUUUAUAUCAAAGGUAGUCAAAUUAUGGCCCAUAGGCCAGCUACCUGUUUUUGUAAAUAAAGUUUUAUUUGCACACAACCACACCCAUGUGUGUAUUGUCUAUGGCUGCUUUUGGGUAGCAAGGGCAGAUUUGAGUAGUUGCAGCAGAGACUACCAUAUGACCCACAAAUGAUAUUAAUAAUACAUUUAUUAUCUAGCCAUUUAAGAGAAUUUGCCAAUCUCUAAAGAAUGGAUUUUAACAUAAAUUAAUUCCUUUAUCAAGUAGAUUGAUUGAUUAUAUUUUUUCCAAUAGUUUUUGACACAAUAGAUACAACCUAACUGAUAGGGAUGACUACUAAUGCCAAGCUUUGUGAAAUUGGAAAUACGAAAAUUUUCUGAUAAUAAUAUAGCACCAUCUCAUGGAAUAUCAUGGAAACUGUCAGAAAAGUUUAUUGCUGUACUACUAAAUUACUGAGCAUCAG